ensembl:miRNA MIR135B microRNA 135b
ACUCUGCUGUGGCCUAUGGCUUUUCAUUCCUAUGUGAUUGCUGCUCCAAACUCAUGUAGGGCUAAAAGCCAUGGGCUACAGUGAGGGGCGCGCUCC